rnacentral:lncRNA from 1 species
UUCAUGAGUGCUCACCUGGUAGAGGGAAGACCCUGAACGUCCAGACCGUUCCCCUGACCGGCCACGUGUGGACUCUUGGUGGCUCUGCUGUCUCAGCCCAGCCUUUCCGUGGCCUGACACUGAUUGUGUGUCUGAGUUUUCUGAAUGUCCCUCACUGUCACUGGCCUGACUACCGCUAGACCCCCGGUGUCCACGAUCGCUGACUGCAGAUGAAGCUUGCCCGCGCCCAGUGGCUGAGUGUCUGGAGCUGUCUGCUGACUGCUGGUGGCCGGAUCCAUGUCUUUCUCCUGGACUUGAUCUUGCCUGUUCAUGGGAUGAUGCAGUCUGUCCACGAGAGGAAGUCUCUGCGUGACGAGUGCCUGAUUGUCUGGAGCUGUCUGCAGAGUGCCCAUGACUGGCUCUGUCUUCAUCAUGGGACCUGGGGUGUCUGGAGCCAUCUCUUGACUGCUCCCACGCAGAUCCAUGAUGGUUUCUGGAAGCCGACCCAGAGUGCCUCUCAGAGUCUUCUGAGUGUCCCUCACUGUCCCUGUCCUGGCUAACUCUGGAUCCCCUACGCUUUCUUGUCCUGGACUCCUGCAAUGGACUCAUAAUAUGCUUGAGCCAACUUGAAUACCAUCAGAAGAAACUCAGUGAAGUCAAUUUUCUUGUUGUGGUCUAUAUCCAAGUGAUCCAUGAAGACAUCAACCAUAUCUGGGUCAUCUGGAUUCUGUACAGAGGGAAGUCACAGAGGGAGACUGCAUCAGACAGAAUCACAUUAUCAGCCAAUUAAUUCAAAGUUAAUUUAAGGAACCUGAUCUUUGAGUAUUAAAAAGUGGGACAAAAUCUUUUUUUUUUUUAAGACUUUUUUGUCUCAUCCUCAUUCAGGUGUUAUAUGUGAACAAAGAUGUAGACUAGUAAGGUAUCAAGAUUUGAUGGGGGAUAUCCAGACAACUUGGAGCCAAGUCCCCACAGCUGGAUCAGACAACUUUUGGUGACAUCUCACAGUGUGGAUUAUCAAGCCAGUGUAUCAGUCUGGAGCCUAGGUUUUUUGCCUUUAGCUUUGCUCAGGAUGACUUCUGCUCUUCUAUGGCAAUACUUGAGAAGGCUACAGCUUUGAUUAGACGAGAGGCUAUUUCAAUAACUUUCUCCUGAUAAGAAGACCACCGACCGUGGACGGAUUCUGGCCAGUUUACAAAGGCUGCAUACGCAUAGGGCAGGGCACCCCACUAUGGCAAACACUAAUAAUGAUAUUGCUCCUGAUUUUGUUUCUGAAGGGAAUGCCUCUAAGAUUUCUUCAUUAAUUAUAAGGAGACUGGGUCUCACUCUGUUGCCCAAGCUGGAGAACAGUGGCACCAUCAUAGCUCACUGCAGCCUUCAACUUCUGGGCUCAAGUGCUUCUCCCACCUCAGCCUCCCAAGUAGCUGGGACAACAGGGUGAAAUUGAAGGCCAGCUUUUGGAACUCAACCUUCAAAGGAACUUAAAAUUUCCAUUAUGUAGAGUCCCUGAGGAAACUGGAUCCACUAGCUACACUGGCUGAGAAUGCUCUCACCCCAGGAUUUCAUUUUUAUUUUACCACAUCAUUGUUGGUAUCUUAAGAUCAAUGUACUGGAGCAGCGGGGUCUCACAAAGAGGAUACCUGGUGACACGCCCAGGCUUUCAGAAUGCACUAUAGGGCUUUAGUGACUUGUCCAGGUUCAGCUGAAAUGUGCCAUCUGGGACCUACUAAUGCUUGUUGAACUUUACUGGAUCUCAGAAGCUGGGUCUCAGAAGCUCAGAUGUUCCUCAGAGCUACGAUAUCAACAACCUGUGAUGACAGAGAGAAGGUUGCUCCAUGAUGGAUUUGGAAACUUACUGGCUAGCUAAACCUGACUGAAUGGGAAGGAAUGUGGAUAGCUUUGGAACUCUAGUUUCACUAGAUGAGCUGGAAUUUGUAUUUUGACAAAUUGCACGUUAUGAUUAUUAAGUAAUGCAACUGAUUUUUUUUUCCCUUAAAACAAACAAUCUAGAAUCUGUGUAAUCAAAAUAAUUUCUCUAAAAGGCUGCAAGUAUAUGCUUAAAGUGUUGGGGCAUUCAGAGCAUUUGGAACAUUACAUUCUUUUGAAUGUCAAUUGGUAGAUGAAAAUACCAGCUUUUAAGUCAUACAUUUGAUUUUUUGAAACAAUAUGCAUUUAGAGUUUGUAAGUCAAGUGAAUAACUGAUAAGGUAAAAAAAAGGGGGAGUUCAUUGUUGAGUAUGAAUUUAAAGUAACCAGACUGCCUUUUGUCCAGUGGCUGUCAGUAAUUUACUUCAGCAGGCAUUUUUUUUUUUUUGAGGCUGUUCUAUGAUAUCAUGACCCUUCUUGUAGGAAUGUGCUUCCAGUGGUGAGGCAGUCUGAGAAUGUGUGAAGCAGUAUAAUGAAGCCAGACCAAGAUGGAAGCUUGGCCUGGGAUUUGAGCAUCAGGAAAACUGUUGAAGGGUUAUGUAUACAUCACACACACACACACACACACACACACACACACACACACACACACACUCUCUUCCAUACUCCUAUAACAACGUAUAGUAUUUACUAUACCUGGUGACAGGUAUUUACUAUACAUUGUUGAAGAUCUAUAACAUGGAAUGCCUAGUGCUAAGUGCAGUGUCCUUAGUGAAAUUGUAUUGGUUUGGAAUUAUUUAUGAGUUUGGGAUUAUUUGUCACUACCCUUAAAUGAUCUUGACACUCACCUAUUUGAAAAGAUAUUGAGGAUUUGCCAUUUGAUAUUGACCAGGGUGUAUUGUGCACAAAUAUUGUGAAUAUACAUCUGUCUGUCCUUAAAUCACUGUAAGUUUUAACUGGAAUAGAUUUGCUCCACAUUACUCGGUAGGGCUGAUAUUUCAUGCCUCAUGGAUGAGAAAAGAAUAGGCAAAAAUUAUAUCUCGGGCUGCCUCACACAUCUUUUAACAGGAUAAGGGAAAAAUAAAUAUAAGACCUAUGAGUUAUGGCAUCAGGCUUGAACUUUAAUUUAUGAAUUAAACCAACAAUAUUAUUGAUUAUUGCAAUUAUCUAUCUUAAUUUCAUUUGUUCUCCUUUUAAAAAUUAAUUAUGUUUAUUUUACCUAUUGUGAAUAAAGUCACUCCUCCCAUGUGCUUAUUUCUUGACUCUGGCACUAAUUAUUCUUCAGUGCCUAGAUUUCCUGGGACUGCUCAGUUUAAGUAACUUCUGAACAUUGGUCUCUGAGAGAAAAGACAGUGAAGUGGGAUCUGUGGAAAAACACAUCUGCAAAUGUCUCAUUUUUUUCUUCAGGGGUAAGUUUUCUUCCUUGGAGACUCUUGUCUUGAAAAAGUGAUACUAGAUCACCAUUUGGCAAGAUAAUUACAAAAGGCAGAUAGAGUAAUUAUUUUACAUAGCUGUUAUAGGGUGACUAAGAUCUCAGGGAAUGACUGUGUUCUGUAAUCCACUUGCCCCACUCAAUACCCCAAGUUUUAUACAAGCCAAAGAUGCUUGGAGCAGAAUCUGCUACCUGAGGCUCCAGGGCCUUGGCCUAGGGAAACUAAUACUUAACUUUUUAAGUGGUCAUUGAUGACAUCCCACUCCUUUCUGAGAUGGGUAUGAUUUGAAAGGCAGGUGUAUUCAUGGAGAGCAGGGCUUGGGACCUUUGCUGCAAGAGGAGGAACUAUUAGCCUAGACUUUUCUAAUAAGGACUUUCUCAUACCUGUUUCCUAGAUCUGGUCCACAUAGAAGAAAUCAGGGAACACACAGGGUAGGACUCUUAAAGGAGUAUGUUUCUUGGCUUUUUCCUAAAAACUAAAACAAAAACAUUCAUAGCAAAGCAGUUUAGCCCAGUGACUAAGAGUAUAGACAUUGGAAUCUGAAAGAUCUGGGUUGGAAUUCUGCUUCAGCCAUUUACUAAUUAUGUAACUUCACAUCUCUGAGAAUGGGGGAAAUUUUCUUUGCAGGGUUGUUACAAAGCUUAAAAGAGUUAAGUCAAGUGCCUGGAACAGAACAGCCAUUCAAUAAAUCAUAGAAAUUUUUGUUUUUACACAAAUUUUUAAAAAGUAAUAUUUUUUGCAUUUGUUAGAAAGACUAUAUUUUCUGUUUAGUGGAUGACAUCAUCAUCAUAAAAAUCACUGUUACAAGUUUUGUUUUGAGAAUUAAAAUCAUAUAUUAAUCCCAA